rnacentral:rRNA from 1 species
CCAAUAGCGUAUAUUAAAGUUGUUGCAGUUAAAAAGCUCGUAGUUGAAUUUCGGGAUUCUACCGUUGGUCAGGCUAUUGUCUGUACUGGCGUGUAGAAUUUCUACCUUCUGGGGAACUAUCAUGUUAUUAAUUUAGCGUGGUAGGAAACCAGAACCUUUACCUUGAAAAAAUUAGAGUGUUCAAAGCAGGCUUAUGUCUGAAUACAUUAGCAUGGAAUAAUAAAAUAGGACGGUGGUCCUGUUUUGUUGGUUUCUGAAUCACCGUAAUGAUUAAUAGGGAUAGUUGGGGGCAUUAGUAUUCAAUUGUCAGAGGUGAAAUUCUUGGAUUUAUUGAAGACUAACUACUGCGAAAGCAUUUGCCAAGGAUGUUUUCAUUAAUCAAGAACGAAAGUUAGGGGAUCGAAGACGAUCAGAUACCGUCGUAGUCUUAACCAUAAACUAUGCCGACUAGGGAUCGGACGAUGUUAACUUUUCUUGACUCGUUCGGCGCCUUACG